UCCUCUGAUUACCUUAACCAAAUUAAUACAACAACUAAGAAAAUCAAUCAAUAACAAUCAACCAAAAAUCAUUCAUCGACUUCAACUCAACAAUCGGCAGAAUUAUGCAAAGUGAAUCAACUAAUCAUAACUAAUGAACUUCCAAUUAUUCCCGAGAAAAGAAAUUUAAUCUAAUUCAGUGAUUAGUAAAUCAUCGUCCCAACAAUUCCUUAAUCUAGUUAUUCUGAGUUCAAUUAAUCUCGAUUAGAAGAAAAGAUUUUUUUCUCUUCAUAAGAACAGUUAUAAUUUUCUAUUCUCAUCUUCUUUUAAUCGUAAUUCUAUUCGAUUAUCAUAAUUAUUUCAUCAUUUUUGAUUCAUUUGUUAAUAGCAAUUAGUUAAUUAACUAUCCAGAGAGAGAGAGAGAGAGAGAGAGAGAGAGAGAGAGAGAGAGAGAGAGAGAGAGAGAGAGAAACAAAACUAAAUUAAUUGAAUGAUAACUUGAGUUGACAAUUUAAAGAAAUGUAAUCGUUAUGUUGUCAUAAUAAUUUAAAAAACUCUCAGUGUUUAUGAUUAACUUUAAUCAGAACGAGAAUGAUGUCAAUUAACUUAAAUAACGACAAUUAAUUCAUUAAUUUUAAUUGUAUUCUUUUUUUAAUUGUUUUCUUUUUCUUUUUCUGUCCAUUAAAUGUAAUAUUCACUGUUUAAUCAUAAGCUAAAAUUGUCUUUUGUUUUUGUCUAUCAACCCUGACAACUUAUCAAGCUAAAGUAAUCAGAGCAAUUAAUUAACUCUAAUUGUGAUGUAAUCUGAUUGUAAAUCAAUUUGUUUUUGUUUUACUUUUAACAGAAUGUGACAAAGAUGAUAAAAUGGCUGAUUUAAUGAGCAGUCAGUCAAUGAUGAUGCCAAUGAUGGAUAUGGAUGAUGGAGGUGAGAUGAUGAUGAUGAAAAAAUCAAUGGGUGAAGGAGGCGAUGGCGAUGGAGGAGGUGGAGGUGGAGGUGGAAGGGUUGUUGUCCAGUCAUGCAAGUCUAUUCAGCCGAGAAAUCGCCCUCGAUGGCUCAAAUGGCUCAACCACCGGCUCCUCAGUCUCCCAGCGUCAUGAUGUUACCAUAAAUGUCCAUGCCCAUGUCUAUGCCGUCAUCGAUGCCGAUGCCAAUACCGAUUCCUAUCCCGGUUCCAUCUCCAGUCUCAUCUCCCAUGUCCAUGAUGAUGCCUGUCUCAAUGUCCAUGACAAUGCCGAUGACCAUGUCAACGGAAAUGAAUAGUAAUCAAAUGAUGGAUGGAAGUAAAAAAAUGAUGAGUGGAGGGAUGAUGAUGUCACCUGGAAUGACCUGGCCCACUUCUGGUGGUAUGAUGAUGGGAAGUCCAUCACCAAUGAUGAUGACCGGUCCAUCGUCAAUGAUGAUGUCCAAGAUGAUGUGGUCAGGAUCACCAAUGCCAAUGAUGAUGGGAAAAUAAUACUCACCAGAAAAAAAGUUCAUUCAUUCAAAUCAACUAAUCACUACAACUUACAAACACAAACUGUAAGUUGUAGUGAACACAAACCUAAUCAUCUAAUCAAUGAACACGAAAAUUAGUUGACAAUUAACUUCAAACCAAAAACAAAAUCGUAACAUGAAUUAAAUCAACAACCAAAAGUAAAUCAUCAUCAAUAUUACAUUACCAAUAAGGUAAACUAAUGGUAAACAAUCAAAGUGUUGCGGUGACAAAUUAAAUUGAUUAAAAGCCCAAAUCAUCAAUGAGUUAAUCAGUUACAAUUACCAAUAGAUAUUCACAUUAUAUAAAUAAUACACAUGAGUUUUGUCAUCAUCAUCUUUCAUCCCUUAUCUUCAUCAACCAAUAUCAUUAGAGUUGGAUGAUGAUGAUGAUCAGUGUGUUAUCCUUAAUUAUCUCAAAUGUCAACAUGAUUUUCCUGUUGUUUUCUUUAUGUAUCUUGGAAUCCAUGGGAAUUUAUGAUAAAGAUCAAGAGAUGAGAACGGAAAAUA